rnacentral:lncRNA from 1 species
UUUUCUCGAGUCUGUUCAGCUCCGGCCACCGGCGGUGGCGCGCGUGAUCACCGGAGGCAGCUUCCUCUCCUCUUCAUUUUUGUAAUUUGCUCUGGUUUGCCCUUUUUCUUUGUCAUUGUCGUUUUGCUCGGUUCCGUGGGCGGUGCUCCGGUUCGGUUUCUCUAGAUUUGCUCCGGGGAAGUUUAGAUCCGUAGCUUGGGACUUCUGUUCUGGAGUUUUGGCACGGCGGUGAGGGUUCUUGGGCUGCCGGAGUCGGCUUUUAGGGUGAACGUUUCGGUGGAUCUAGGUUUACUCCUUCUCGGUCCUUUCGAAGCUUUCCGUGUUGUUGGCAGGUGGGUCCGUCGGCAUCUCACUCCUUGAUGAUAGGAGUUUCAAGGCUCCUGAUCAAAUGUCGUAGAAUAAAAGAUGUCAAACCAAUUCUAACUGAUUCUAAAGCAAAGGGAAUGCAAGACCGUAUUUAAUCUAAGUGCUAUCAAUUGGUGAGAUGAUUUUUUAACUAGAAUGCUACUAAAUUGCAAUAAAGGACAAAGCUUUCUUUCUUAUGAGAUAAGAGAAAUCAUGGGCUAAAGGAAUUGACCUUGGGUGAUCAAGUUUCAAUCUAAAGGUGUUAACUUUCAACCAAUCUUACUACCUUAAACCUAGACACCAUC